GACGAACGCUGGCGGCGUGCUUAAUACAUGCAGGUCGAACGGAAAGGUCCCUUCGGGGGUCCUCGAGUGUCGAACAGGUGAGUAACACUUGAGUAUCCUUCACUUGACUUUGGGAUAACAUCAGGUAACUGGGGCUAAUACUAGUUCGGAAUACCUUCUGCAUGGUGGUGGUUGUAAAGCUUCGGCGGUUUUGGCUGGACUUGCGGCUUAUCAGCUUGCUUGUGGAGUUGUGUCUUACCAAGGCUUUGACGGGUAGCCGGCCUGAGGGGGCGACCGGCGACAUUGGGACCUAGAGACGGCACAGACUCCUACUGGAGGGAGCAGGGGGGAAUAUUGCACAAUGGGCGGAAGCCGGAUGCAGCAAGUCCGCGGACGGUAUGACGGCCUUCGGGUGGUAGACCGCAUUCAGCAGGGGCGAAGCUUGUGGUGACGGUACCUGCAGAAGAAGCACCGGCUAACUACGUG
rnacentral:rRNA from 1 species